UACGGGGGGGCAAGCGGUUGUUCGGAAUUACUGGGCGUAAAGGGCUUGUAGGCGGCCAACUAAGUCCGACGUGAAAUCCCAAGGCUUAACCUUGGAACUGCGUCGGAUACUGGAUGGCUUGAAUUCGGGAGAGGGAUGCAGAAUUCCAGGUGUAGCGGUGAAAUGCGUAGAUAUCUGAGGAAGAACCGAUGCCGAAGCGGCGAAGCAUCGUCGCCGUACGGACUGA
rnacentral:rRNA from 1 species